GCCGGAUUUGAACCAUCGACCGAAGGAACUUGUUGCUACAGUCCUCAGCUCUACCAACUGAGGUAUCGAAAGAUGUCAUCUACUGUUUUCCCUGUACAAGGCAGGAUUCAAGGAAUCGGUUGGUAAUGUCAAUCAUCAGUCUGAAACCUUGAAAAAGUCCUCCGCUCUCUCAACUAAGCUAUCGAAGGCUGCCCCUUAUUGAUGUAAGGCCUCCCCCCAGUGGGCUGAUGUGAGGAAACUGGGCCUGAAGAUUCCCAUCAUGUCCGUACCACAAAUGUCCAGGCGGGACAAGGCGCUCACAGGGGAAAAGGCGGAAGGCUAAAGCAACAGUUAAGCAAACACUCAAUAAAAAUGUCUCUAUUUGGGCUCGAGUGUUCUGGAAUGCUCCAAUUUAGGAAAUUGUUUUGAAUAGGACCCAUUCUCCGAAAGCAUAUUCCUGCAGAACUUCAUCUUAUGAAAUGGACUCUCACUAAA